rnacentral:miRNA from 1 species
UCUUGGAGAUUGGUGACCGUCC